rnacentral:misc_RNA from 1 species
GUCAGAUGGCAAGCACUUCCUGUGAAAAUGCGGUGCCUGACCUUUUUCACUAUUUCCUGUAUUUAGGUCAUCUGAACGGAAAUUUUGCACUUGAUGACCAAAAUUAUCUCCCCCUUUCCUUGUAGACAAAUCAAAUGUUGCUUGUUCUGCUGAGAGAUGAUUUUUCUUCAUAGUUGCAUUCAUUUCCCGAACAACCCUUACAAUGUCAUCACCAAUCUCCG